GACUCCGAUUCUGUUGUGUUUUAAAUACACGCCACAAAAUGUAGAAUAACAGGUUUGUUGGAUGCACCUCACUGAUCCUGUCAGCAUUACAGCUCUGUGCUGCUGAUUUGCCUGAACUCUGCUGAGCUGCACCGAGUCGAUUCAGGAUGUUCGGAAAGAAAAACAAACGGGCGCCGCCGCCCAAGGGCCAGGGUGCCACCGCCGCCAAACAGAUGGGUUUGUUCCUCGACUUCAACCCUGAGGACAUGAUGGAGGACAUGGACCAGAACGUGGAUGAUCCUGAUCUGGAGGCCGAAUUUGCUGCCAUCGUCGGGAAGAAACCAGCCGCUGAUGCUAAAGGGAAGAAAACUGCCAAAGCCCCGUUACCGAUGGAGGACAUUGCAAAGAUGACUGAGGAAUGCAUGAAGGACGUUGAUGAUGAUGACGAUGAUGAGAACCUGGAGGAUGAUGAAGAUCUUCUGGCUGAGCUCCAGGAAGUGGUAGGUGAGCAGGAAAUGGAUGAUACGGGGGCAGAAACCACUUCCUCGCCUGGCGCCGAAAAAACACGGUUAUCUCAACCAGAACCGCAGGUGGCGAAGACACAGAUGCAGACGGCAGCGCCCGCGGAAGCCGAAGCGAGCGUAGGUGGUAGUGUCGAGCACACGCUGCAGGAACGAAUCGACCUGUACAGAACAGCUAUAACUAAUGCCACAGCUGCAGGAGAACCUGCCAAAGCUCGGCGAUAUGACCGAGGACUGAAGACGUUACAGAGCAUGCUAGCCACCGUCCGUAAAGGAGGGAAGAUAAACGAAGCCGAGAUCCCGCCGCCGGUGGCGUCCGGUACUCGUACCGAAGCCCCUCGACCCCCGGCGUCCACCGCGGCUGCACCUUCUCCACCGGAGAGCGCUGUGGAUGUUUCACCUGUUGCCCAGGAGACCGCUUCUGCCUCCACGCCGCCGGAAAUCGAAAUCUCAGAAGUAGGGACCACGCCCACUGAGACGUCGGUCUCCACGGACCCGACCGCCAGCGCCAGCUCACCAGAAGAAGACGGGCACAGCACAGGCUCUCCUCACACAGACGCUUCUUCUGCAGAUAAAGUAAGUGAACCCUCCAGGGAGGCGCUGCUGGAGCGGCAGAAGCAGUACAGGGUCGCCGCUCUGAAAGCAAAACAAGCGGGCGACCUGGAACAAGCCAAACUUCACAUGAAGACCAGCAAGAGUUUGGACGCUGUGAUCGAGGCCCUGGAGAGAGGAGAGUCCGUGGAUCUGAGGAACCUCCCCGCCGCCCCUUCAGGAGCCUCUGCUGCAGUGAAGGCGGCUCCUCCAAAACCAGUAAUGAGAGAGUCCCAGUCCACCCCGGAGAUGCAGAUUGGUGAAGCUCCAGCAGGUCAGGCUGGUCCAGCUCAACCCAAAUCAGUUCUGGAGGCGCUGGAGCAGAGGAUGGCUAAAUACAGAGAGACCUGCGAUCAGGCUAAAGCUAACGGCGACGAGCGCAAAGCUCGCAUGUACGACCGCAUAGUGAAGCAAUACCAGGGUGCCAUUCGUGGCCAUAAAGCCGGGCGAGCUGGUAAUUACGACGAGCUUCCAGUGCCACCAGGAUUUCCUCCGAUGCCAGGCCAGGAGGCAGCUAAACCCGAGCAGGGAUUGGUGGCGGCACUGGAGGCAGCCGGUAAGCUGGCAUCUACUGAGGCGGAGGGUGGAGACGAUGAGGAUGAUGAAGAGGAGAAAGAGACCAAGCAGCCCAAAGCUCCUGCAGCAGCAGAGGAAAAGCAGAAGAAGCCGAUGUUGGUGGUGCCUCCAACUGUUCAGCCUCCUAACAGAAGUCCCUCACCCUCACCAGAGACAUCAGCCAAGAGAGAGAACCAAUCAGCAGCAGUCUCGGAGCAGGUGGAGAUGUUGGAGAACCGGAGGAAGCAGUACAUGAAGGCGGCUCUGCAGGCCAAGCAGAAGAACGACCUGGAGCAGGCCAAGAUGUUCCUACGUACCGCCAAGAGCUUGGAACCGCUGAUCGCCGCCGCACAGAGCGGGAAACACGUCGACAGCGGCAAGGUCCCGUCUCCUCUUGGCGAUGAAGACGAGGGCUUCAUCAUGGUGCACCAUGCCGACGUUCAGAUCUCCCAGAAAGCGGAGGAAGUGUACGCCCAGCUCACCGCCAUGCUGAAGGAACAGUACGAGAAGUGUACCACCUACUCCAAACAGUUCAGUCACAUGGGCAACGUGGCAGAAACCACCAAAUUCGAGAACAUGGCAGAGAGGUGUAAGAAGAGUUUGGAGAUCCUCAAGUUGGCACAGAAUCGGGGUCUCGAACCUCCAAAGCACCAUUUUGAGGAGAAAACCUACCGCACAGCCAGGAUUUUCCCGGAGCUGAGCAGUACUGUUAUGGUGGUAGAGAUCAUCAGAGGGUUGAACCUUCCUGCUCCUCACGGCGUCGCCCCGGCCGACCUCGAUGCCUUCGUCAGGCUGGACUUCCCCUACCCCAGCUCGGAUCAGCCUCAGAAACACAAAACCACGGUGGUCAAGAACACCAACAGUCCAGAGUACAACCAGAGCUUCACCCUGAACAUCAACCGCAACCACCGGGGCUUCAGGAGGGUGGUGCAGACCAAGGGUCUCAAACUGGAGGUGUUCCAUAAGGGUGGUUUCCUGAGGAGUGAUAAACCAGUUGGGACGGCUCACGUUAAACUGGAGAAACUGGAGAGUGAGAGUGAAGUACGGGAAAUCGUGGAGGUGAUGGACGGCCGGAAGUCCACGGGGGGUCGACUGGAGGUGAAAGUGCGUCUCAGGGAGCCGCUGAGCGGUCAGGACAUGCAGACCAUCACCGAGCGCUGGCUGGUGCUGGAUCAGUCGCAGGUUCUUCAUUAACGCUGCAUUAGAACCAAACACACACACUUCUUUCAGCAUCCAAAAAGUGGAAAUCAGAUGGAGCUAAAUCAGGACUAUAAGCGUCUCUCGGACACGCCCGAUUCCUCCUCCACCCUCACCGCUUAUAACCACAAUAUACACAUCUCUGAUGUUCAGAGGAACGUGGUGUGGAGGAGACGUGACCACCCCCCCCUCCGGAGACGGAUAAACCGCGGUGGUUCAGUUUAGGCAGUAGAAUUAAAAAUAAAGAAAUGUUGUUUGUUCGUA